rnacentral:rRNA from 1 species
GAUGAACGCUGGCGGCGUGCCUAAUACAUGCAAGUCGAGCGAACAGACGAGGAGCUUGCUCCUCUGAUGUUAGCGGCGGACGGGUGAGUAACACGUGGAUAACCUACCUAUAAGACUGGGAUAACUUCGGGAAACCGGAGCUAGUACCGGAUAACAUGUUGAACCGCAUGGUUCAACAGUGAAAGACGGUCUUGCUGUCACUUAUAGAUGGAUCCGCGCCGCAUUAGCUAGUUGGUAAGGUAACGGCUUACCAAGGCAACGAUGCGUAGCCGACCUGAGAGGGUGAUCGGCCACACUGGAACUGAGACACGGUCCAGACUCCUACGGGAGGCAGCAGUAGGGAAUCUUCCGCAAUGGGCGAAAGCCUGACGGAGCAACGCCGCGUGAGUGAAGAAGGUCUUCGGAUCGUAAAACUCUGUUAUUAGGGAAGAACAAAUGUGUAAGUAACUAUGCACGUCUUGACGGUACCUAAUCAGAAAGCCACGGCUAACUACGUG